GAUGAACGCUGGCGGCGUGCCUAAUACAUGCAAGUCGAGCGAACAGACGAGGAGCUUGCUCCUCUGAUGUUAGCGGCGGACGGGUGAGUAACACGUGGAUAACCUACCUAUAAGACUGGGAUAACUUCGGGAAACCGGAGCUAAUACCGGAUAAUAUUUUGAACCCAUGGUUUCAAACGGAAAAACGGGUUUUUUGUCACUUAUAGGUGGAUUCCCGCUGCAUUAGCUAGUUGGUAAGGUAACGGCUUACCAAGGCAACGAUGGAUAGCCGACCUGAGAGGGUGAUCGGCCACACUGGAACUGAGACACGGUCCAGACUCCUACGGGAGGCAGCAGUAGGGAAUCUUCCGCAAUGGGCGAAAGCCUGACGGAGCAACGCCGCGUGAGUGAUGAAGGUCUUCGGAUCGUAAAACUCUGUUAUUAGGGAAGAACAUAUGUGUAAGUAACUGUGCACAUCUUGACGGUACCUAAUCAGAAAGCCACGGCUAACUACGUG
rnacentral:rRNA from 1 species